GAUGCAAAUCCUCAUUUAUAAGAAGUUUCCCAAAGGGAAUUAGAGAGAAAAAUCCCUUAUACAUAAAAGAGACAAAGCAAGUGAGGAUGUGAGGAUGUGUUUCCAUAGAAUUUUUAAAAGAGACACUCAUUCUGAGGUUGAAUUGCAGAUAUUUUAAGGGUACAACAUUUUAUGUCAAAUGUAAUCCUUUUCUACAUUUUUGAUAAUGUAUUUCUGUUUUCUCCCUUUUUGCUUAUUUCUCACAAAUGCCCAUAUUUCUCAUUAUGUUGUCUUUCACAAGUGCACUAUUUAAGCAAGAGAUUUUCUCUAAAUGCACCUCAUCUCCUGCUGGUUCUCAGCCCCUGGUCUUGCUCUGUGAAUACCUGUCUCUCACAUAGGAGCUUACACAGAAUGGGUGCUUGUGGCCUGUAUCCUCGUGGGUCUUUUUUGCAAUCUCUGCAGCCCAGGAGGAGGAUGGGGAGAACUUCAGCCCUCCUGUACUGCAUCUUCAGAAGUGGGGUCUGGCUGGACAUUUGCAUUCAUGAGGGUCCCCAUGGAUCAGAGCAAUGAUCCCUGAUGGCUGAUGUUUGCUGGAGCUCACUCCACUCCAGACCACACGCCAAGCAGGGAAGAAAAAAGAGAAGUCAUUCAUCAUCCUAUCCUCCCAAGACAACAGCUGGGAACGGCCUGGUGGAGAUUUCCAGCUGCCUUCCUCUGAGCCUUCUCCCUGCGCUUAUGAUUAUUCCUCCAGAAUGAUGACCCCCAGAUAAAGUUACUGUGCAGUGAAGAACCGAGCACAGGACCAGCCACAGAAGAGACACAACUUUGACCAUAACUGCUGUUGUUGUUCAGGGUGAAUAUUCUCCCCCAAUUUAUAGCCGGCCCAAAGACCUCCCUCUAGAACACCAUAAGAAUAUAAUGCAAGCUAUUAACUGGUAAAUGCUAUUUAAAUCUC